rnacentral:rRNA from 1 species
UACAGAGGGGGCAAGCGUUAUUCGGAAUUAUUGGGCGUAAAGGGCGCGUAGGCGGCCAUUCAAGUGACGGGUGAAAGCCCUCGGCUUAACCGAGGAACUGCCUGUCAGACUGGAUGGCUUGAGACCGGGAGAGGUGAGUGGAAUUCCCAGUGUAGCGGUGAAAUGCGUAGAUAUUGGGAGGAACACCAAUGGCGAAGGCAGCUCGCUGGGACGGUACUGACGCUGAGACGCGAAAGCGUGGGGAGCAAACAGG